rnacentral:lncRNA from 1 species
UCGAUAGCCGUCUCCACAGACCCACCUACUCCACUAUCUAGGCACUCCUACUUCAAAAUAGCCAAUUAUAGACUACUUUGAUGAAGAAUCAAAUGUUGGAAGGAACGACCCUUGAUUGUUAUGUUUCAAGGUGUAAGGCUUUGCUCAAUCUACAGGUACCAAAAGAAAAUUUCCAUUACACAACAGUAGUAUAAGUCGGCACAAAUAUUAAAUUCACGAAAGUUGAGAGAUUGAUGGCUUAAAGCAAAAACCUUUGAGUUUGUAGUUUCUCUGGAGAUGAGAUACCAAGUAUGAAGCACAGGACUUCUGAUGUCCCCUUCAAGAAAACAGAUUUACCAACCAGCCUCUGUUGAUUUUAAAGCGGCUUCCGGUACCACAGAAAAAUCAAAGGUGAUGAAAUAAACAGGGAAAAGUUUCCGAUGUCACUUUCAGGCAGAGAUUAUUAAUCUCCCUUCCCACCUAGCAAACAAGUGGAAUAAAAUUUGUCAGAAGUCUUCAUGUGGAUCUUCAUCCUUCCCAUUUUGGCCAAGACAACAACACUUAGCACAUGCCAACUGAAUGGUCACCA